rnacentral:rRNA from 1 species
CGCGUAGGCGGCCGAUCAAGUCCGACGUGAAAUUCCUCGGCUCAACCGAGGGCCUGCGUCGGAUACUGCUCGGCUUGAGUCCCGGAGAGGGUAGUGGAAUUCCCAGUGUAGCGGUGAAAUGCGUAGAUACUGGGAGGAACACCGGUGGCGAAGGCGGCUACCUGGACGGGUACUGACGCUGAGGCGCGAAAGCUAGGGGAGCAAACAGGAUUAGAUACCCUGGUAGUCCUAGCUGUAAACGAUGGGCACUUGGUGUUGCGGGUAUCGACCCCUGCAGUGCCGAAGCUAACGCAUUAAGUGCCCCGCCUGGGGAGUACGGUCGCAAGGCUGAA